rnacentral:rRNA from 1 species
AGCCGCGGUAAUACGUAGGGGGCGAGCGUUGUUCGGAUUUACUGGGCGUAAAGAGCGCGUAGGCGGUUCGAUCAGUCGGAGGUGAAAUCCCUCGGCUCAACCGAGGACCCGCGUCCGAUACUGUCGAACUUGAGUGCAGGAGAGGAGAGCGGAAUUCCCAGUGUAGCGGUGAAAUGCGUAGAUAUUGGGAGGAACACCGGUGGCGAAAGCGGCUCUCUGGACUGUCACUGACGCUGAGGCGCGAAAGCUAGGGGAGCAAACGGGAUUAGAUACCCCGGUAGUCCUAGCCGUAAACGAUGGGCACUAGGUGUGGGAGGUAUCGACCCCUUCCGUGCCGCAGCUAACGCAUUAAGUGCCCCGCCUGGGGAGUACGGCCGCAAGGUUGAAACUCAAAGGAAUUGACGGGGGCCCGCACAAGCGGUGGAGCAUGUGGUUUAAUUCGACGCAACGCGAAGAACCUUACCAGGGCUUGACAUCCCGCGAAUCCCUUCGAAAGAAGGGAGUGCCCGCAAGGGAGCGCGGAGACAGGUGGUGCAUGGCC